rnacentral:rRNA from 1 species
UACGAAGGGGGCUAGCGUUGCUCGGAAUCACUGGGCGUAAAGGGUGCGUAGGCGGGUCUUUAAGUCAGGGGUGAAAUCCUGGAGCUCAACUCCAGAACUGCCUUUGAUACUGAAGAUCUUGAGUUCGGGAGAGGUGAGUGGAACUGCGAGUGUAGAGGUGAAAUUCGUAGAUAUUCGCAAGAACACCAGUGGCGAAGGCGGCUCACUGGCCCGGUACUGACGCUGAGGUGCGAAAUCGUGGGGAGCAAACAGG